ACCAUAAAUACAGCCAUGUUGUAUUCUAUCAUGUUGUGUUCUUAUCUGAUAUGGUUUAUGCCUUUUAUUGUCUUUAGAAUUUCAAUUUGACUACUUAUUGCUCAUUGUUUUUAAUUUUUUGAUUUUCUUUCUUUUUACUCCGAUUUUCCUACCAUUUAGUAUAUUUUACUCCGAUUUUUUCAUUUUCUUUGUAAUUACAAAUUCGAUUUUCUAUAUUUCCAUUGAACCAAUUCCUCUUCUCAAUCUUGAGGCAGUUCACUUUUUACUUUGUUGUUGAUUCUCUAUUAGUUUUACUACUUUAUGAUUUCAUAUAGUUUUUAAUAAGUUCUACGACCAUAAUAUUAAGUUUUCUAUUUGUUAGGAACUUAGGAUUGGCGAUGAUGACAAAAUGAAUAAUCUUAUGAUUAAUAUGAAAAGAGCAUAUACAUGGUAAGGCAACUCGGAUGGCAGUUAUAUAUGCAACCG
rnacentral:lncRNA from 1 species